rnacentral:ncRNA from 1 species
AAAUUAGAAAAACUUAAUAUGCCUGAAGAUAAAUAAAGCAGUGUUGUGCAACCACGGAUGGUUGCACAAGUCUUAUUGCGCCAUGGAGGGCGCAUAUAAGACGUACACGUAAGUAUUCAUUUAGCAGCAACAGGCAUAUUUAGUUUUUCUUU